UUCAAAAACUUCUCUCUCUCUCCUCUUGAACACUUACGGCCGAACACGCCAUAACACACCCACAUUUCAUUUUCAAAAUCAAAUCAUGAAGAAUUAAGGGUCUUACAUGGUGAUUUCAAGCUCAUAAGAAGGUUUGGAGGUGAUUUCAAGUAGAUUCAAGCAAGAACAAGACCCUAAAUCGUCAUCUUUAUCAAAAACCCACUAAAGAUCUUAAAGUUUAUAUGUGUGUGCUUGAGUUCGGCUUCGGGAAAUCAUGGCGUAUCUUGUGUUUGGUGAUGCAUGUUGUUAUGUUUAAUUAUGUUGGACAACUUUUAAACUACCUGGGACGUUUGUAAUAAGAUCCGCGAGGAUCAUAACAACUUAACUUAUGUGGUUGUGUCGUGACUUUUAAAAUUGUAAUGUUUAAUAUCUAUGUUUUA
rnacentral:lncRNA from 1 species